rnacentral:rRNA from 1 species
CCCUUAGAUGUUCUGGGCUGCACGCGCGCUACACUGAAGCGUUCAACGAGUAUUCACCUUGCCCGGGAGGGUUGGGUAAUCUUUUGAAAACGCUUCGUGAUGGGGAUAGAUUAUUGCAAUUAUUAAUCUUCAACGAGGAAUUCCUAGUAAGCGCGAGUCAUCAGCUCGUGCUGAUUACGUCCCUGCCCUUUGUACACACCGCCCGUCGCCCCUACCGAUUGAGUGAUCCGGUGAAUAAUUCGGACUGCAGCACUGCUUGGUCUCCAGGCUUUGCAGCGGAAAGUUUAGUGAACCUUAUCACUUAGAGGAAGGAGAANUCGUANCA